rnacentral:rRNA from 1 species
GAGAGUUUGAUCCUGGCUCAGGACGAACGCUGGCGGCGCGCCUAACACAUGCAAGUCGAACGAGAGAUGAAGGGCUUGCUCUUCAAAUCGAGUGGCGAACGGGUGAGUAACGCGUGAGGAACCUGCCUCAAAGAGGGGGACAACAGUUGGAAACGACUGCUAUUACCGCAUAAGCCCACGGCUCGGCAUCGAGCAGAGGGAAAAGGAGCAAUCCGCUUUGAGAUGGCCUCGCGUCCGAUUAGCUAGUUGGUGAGGUAACGGCCCACCAAGGCAACGAUCGGUAGCCGGACUGAGAGGUUGAACGGCCACAUUGGGACUGAGACACGGCCCAGACUCCUACGGGAGGCAGCAGUGGGGAAUAUUGCACAAUGGGGGAAACCCUGAUGCAGCGACGCCGCGUGGAGGAAGAAGGUCUUCGGAUUGUAAACUCCUGUUGUUGAGGAAGAUAAUGACGGUACUCAACAAGGAAGUGACGGCUAACUACGUGCCAGCAGCCGCGGUAAAACGUAGGUCACAAGCGUUGUCCGGAAUUACUGGGUGUAAAGGGAGCGCAGGCGGGAGAACAAGUUGGAAGUGAAAUCCAUGGGCUCAACCCAUGAACUGCUUUCAAAACUGUUUUUCUUGAGUAGUGCAGAGGUAGGCGGAAUUCCCGGUGUAGCGGUGGAAUGCGUAGAUAUCGGGAGGAACACCAGUGGCGAAGGCGGCCUACUGGGCACCAACUGACGCUGAGGCUCGAAAGUGUGGGUAGCAAACAGGAUUAGAUACCCUGGUAGUCCACACCGUAAACGAUGAUUACUAGGUGUUGGAGGAUUGACCCCUUCAGUGCCGCAGUUAACACAAUAAGUAAUCCACCUGGGGAGUACGACCGCAAGGUUGAAACUCAAAGGAAUUGACGGGGGCCCGCACAAGCAGUGGAGUAUGUGGUUUAAUUCGACGCAACGCGAAGAACCUUACCAAGUCUUGACAUCCCUUGACGAUGCUGGAAACAGUAUUUCUCUUCGGAGCAAGGAGACAGGUGGUGCAUGGUUGUCGUCAGCUCGUGUCGUGAGAUGUUGGGUUAAGUCCCGCAACGAGCGCAACCCUUAUGGUCAGUUACUACGCAAGAGGACUCUGGCCAGACUGCCGUUGACAAAACGGAGGAAG